rnacentral:misc_RNA from 1 species
GUUCACAGAAGAACACACAAUACCAUAUGCCCCUCGACCAAUCGGCUUGAUAGGUACAUAUUUAGUAUCAAUCUCAAACAAUGUCUGCCACAUUGAAAAGUAAUGUUUUCCUUGAGAUCUAACCCCAUUUGGAGGCUCUACAGGGGUCGCCAUUCCCAAUCACCACUUGUUCCUAAACGAGCAAAUUCAAAGAAAAUCAGUCAAGUCCUCGUCCUCAGUUCCCUGCUACAUCGCUUUCUCGUAUCUUCAACCACACGAACUCCAAGCAUGAAACAAAAUUGACCCAGCUCAAAAU